CCUACGGGUGACAGCAGUGAGGAAUAUUGGUCAAUGGACGAGAGUCUGAACCAGCCAAGUAGCGUGAAGGAUGACUGCCCUAUGGGUUGUAAACUUCUUUUAUAUGGGAAUAAAACGUUCCACGUGUGGGAUUUUGUAUGUAUCAUAUGAAUAAGGAUCGGCUAACUCCGUGCCAGCAGCCGCGGUAAUACGGAGGAUCCGAGCGUUAUCCGGAUUUAUUGGGUUUAAAGGGAGCGUAGGUGGAUUGUUAAGUCAGUUGUGAAAGUUUGCGGCUCAACCGUAAAAUUGCAGUUGAAACUGGCAGUCUUGAGUACAGGAGAGGUGGGCGGAAUUCGUGGUGUAGCGGUGAAAUGCUUAGAUAUCACGAAGAACUCCGAUUGCGAAGGCAGUUCACUGGACUGCAACUGACACUGAGGCUCGAAGGUGUGGGUAUCAAACAGGAUUAGAUACCCCUGUAGUC
rnacentral:rRNA from 1 species